CAGCUGUGAUGAAAUGCUACUCCAUUGGUCCGUGUUUCUGAACUACAUGAUUUUCUUGGAUAUUCUGAUGCU
ensembl:snoRNA SNORD18 Small nucleolar RNA SNORD18